AAAACGGCCCUUUUCAGGGCCACCGAACGUAUUCACCAAAGAGUUG
rfam:Aedes albopictus isolate Foshan contig48770, whole genome shotgun sequence.